rnacentral:rRNA from 1 species
CAACACGGGAUUGCCUUAGUAACGGCGAGUGAAGCGGCAAAAGCUCAAAUUUGAAAUCUGGCGUCUUCGACGUCCGAGUUGUAAUUUGAAGAAGGCAACUUUGUAGCUGGUCCUUGUCUAUGUUCCUUGGAACAGGACGUCAUAGAGGGUGAGAAUCCCGUGUGGCGAGGAUCCCAGUUAUUUGUAAAGUGCUUUCGACGAGUCGAGUUGUUUGGGAAUGCAGCUCUAAGUGGGUGGUAAAUUCCAUCUAAAGCUAAAUAUUGGCGAGAGACCGAUAGCGAACAAGUACAGUGAUGGAAAGAUGAAAAGAACUUUGAAAAGAGAGUGAAAAAGUACGUGAAAUUGUUGAAAGGGAAGGGCAUUUGAUCAGACAUGGCGUUUGCUUCGGCUUUCGCUGGGCCAGCAUCAGUUUUAGCGGUUGGAUAAAUCCUCGGGAAUGUGGCUCUGCUUCGGUAGAGUGUUAUAGCCCGUGGGAAUACAGCCAGCUGGGACUGAGGAUUGCGACUUUUGUCAAGGAUGCUGGCGUAAGGUUAAAUGC